GCGCGGCUACCAUGCAAGUCNUCGGUACAGGAAGCAGCUUGCUGCUUUGCUGACGAGUGGCGGACGGGUGAGUANUGUCUGGGAAACUGCCCGAUGGAGGGGGAUAACUACUGGAAACGGUAGCUAAUACCGCAUAAUGUCGCAAGACCAAAGAGGGGGACCUUCGGGCCUCUUGCCAUCGGAUGUGCCCAGAUGGGAUUAGCUUGUUGGUGAGGUAACGGCUCACCAAGGCGACGAUCCCUAGCUGGUCUGAGAGGAUGACCAGCCACACUGGAACUGAGACACGGUCCAGACUCCUACGGGAGGCAGCAGUGGGGAAUAUUGCACAAUGGGCGCAAGCCUGAUGCAGCCAUGCCGCGUGUAUGAAGAAGGCCUUCGGGUUGUAAAGUACUUUCAGCGGGGAGGAAGGGGUUAAGGUUAAUAACCUUAGCCAUUGACGUUACCCGCAGAAGAACACCGGCUAACUCCGUGCCAGCAGCCGCGGUAAUACGGAGGGUGCAAGCGUUAAUCGGA
rnacentral:rRNA from 1 species